rnacentral:sRNA from 1 species
CGAAUAAAGCUGUGAGGAAACUACA